rfam:Theobroma cacao cultivar Matina 1-6 chromosome 4, whole genome shotgun sequence.
GGUCAAUUGAUGAGGAAAAGAAAACUGCAACAAGAUGAUGGAUUUAAUCCAUGAUUACUUGUAUUUAAGUCUCUGAUGAUC